AUGUCAUCUUCCUCCUCCUCCCUCGCCAUGGCCAUGCCUUCGCUUGCUUCGCUCGGCCACACCAUCACGGAGAAAUUGACGCGCGACAACUUCCUGGUGUGGAAGGUCCAGGUCCUCCCGCACGUCAGGGCCGCGGCGAUGAUGGGUUACCUUGAUGGCUCGAUCAAGGAACCCGCUGCCUUCAUCGUCACCGAGAAGGAAACCAACGGGAAGAAGGAGACCGUUGAGACGCCCAACCCAGAGCAUGCGAUCUGGGUGACUCAAGACCAACAGGUGCUUACUUUCCUGCUUGCAUCAUUGUCUCGCGAAGUGCUAAUGCAGGUGUCCAACCACACCACCGCUGCGGGCGUCUGGCAGAAAGCUUCUCCGCGCAAUCCAGGGCGCGCCAGAUCCAGCUCCGCUCGGCCAUCGGCAACGCCCGCAAGGGUGAUCUCUCUGCUUCCGCCUACUUCACGAAGAUGA
rnacentral:rRNA from 1 species